UUAAGCGACUAAGCGUACACGGUGGAUGCCCUGGCAGUCAGAGGCGAUGAAGGACGUGCUAAUCUGCGAUAAGCGUCGGUGAGGUGAUAUGAACCGUUAUAACCGGCGAUUUCCGAAUGGGGAAACCCAGUGUGUUUCGACACACUAUCAUUAACUGAAUCCAUAGGUUAAUGAGGCGAACCGGGGGAACUGAAACAUCUAAGUACCCCGAGGAAAAGAAAUCAACCGAGAUUCCCCCAGUAGCGGCGAGCGAACGGGGAGGAGCCCAGAGCCUGAAUCAGUGUGUGUGUUAGUGGAAGCGUCUGGAAAGGCGCGCGAUACAGGGUGACAGCCCCGUACACAAAAAUGCACAUAUUGUGAGCUCGAUGAGUAGGGCGGGACACGUGGUAUCCUGUCUGAAUAUGGGGGGACCAUCCUCCAAGGCUAAAUACUCCUGACUGACCGAUAGUGAACCAGUACCGUGAGGGAAAGGCGAAAAGAACCCCGGCGAGGGGAGUGAAAAAGAACCUGAAACCGUGUACGUACAAGCAGUGGGAGCCUCUUAAUGGGGUGACUGCGUACCUUUUGUAUAAUGGGUCAGCGACUUAUAUUCUGUAGCAAGGUUAACCGAAUAGGGGAGCCGAAGGGAAACCGAGUCUUAACUGGGCGUUAAGUUGCAGGGUAUAGACCCGAAACCCGGUGAUCUAGCCAUGGGCAGGUUGAAGGUUGGGUAACACUAACUGGAGGACCGAACCGACUAAUGUUGAAAAAUUAGCGGAUGACUUGUGGCUGGGGGUGAAAGGCCAAUCAAACCGGGAGAUAGCUGGUUCUCCCCGAAAGCUAUUUAGGUAGCGCCUCGUGAAUUCAUCUCCGGGGGUAGAGCACUGUUUCGGCAAGGGGGUCAUCCCGACUUACCAACCCGAUGCAAACUGCGAAUACCGGAGAAUGUUAUCACGGGAGACACACGGCGGGUGCUAACGUCCGUCGUGAAGAGGGAAACAACCCAGACCGCCAGCUAAGGUCCCAAAGUCAUGGUUAAGUGGGAAACGAUGUGGGAAGGCCCAGACAGCCAGGAUGUUGGCUUAGAAGCAGCCAUCAUUUAAAGAAAGCGUAAUAGCUCACUGGUCGAGUCGGCCUGCGCGGAAGAUGUAACGGGGCUAAACCAUGCACCGAAGCUGCGGCAGCGACACUAUGUGUUGUUGGGUAGGGGAGCGUUCUGUAAGCCUGUGAAGGUGGCCUGUGAGGGUUGCUGGAGGUAUCAGAAGUGCGAAUGCUGACAUAAGUAACGAUAAAGCGGGUGAAAAGCCCGCUCGCCGGAAGACCAAGGGUUCCUGUCCAACGUUAAUCGGGGCAGGGUGAGUCGACUCCUAAGGCGAGGCCGAAAGGCGUAGUCGAUGGGAAACAGGUUAAUAUUCCUGUACUUGGUGUUACUGCGAAGGGGGGACGGAGAAGGCUAUGUUGGCCGGGCGACGGUUGUCCCGGUUUAAGCGUGUAGGCUGGUUUUCCAGGCAAAUCCGGAAAACCAAGGCUGAGGCGUGAUGACGAGGCACUACGGUGCUGAAGUGACAAAUGCCCUGCUUCCAGGAAAAGCCUCUAAGCAUCAGGUAACAUCAAAUCGUACCCCAAACCGACACAGGUGGUCAGGUAGAGAAUACCAAGGCGCUUGAGAGAACUCGGGUGAAGGAACUAGGCAAAAUGGUGCCGUAACUUCGGGAGAAGGCACGCUGAUAUGUAGGUGAAGCGACUUGCUCGUGGAGCUGAAAUCAGUCGAAGAUACCAGCUGGCUGCAACUGUUUAUUAAAAACACAGCACUGUGCAAACACGAAAGUGGACGUAUACGGUGUGACGCCUGCCCGGUGCCGGAAGGUUAAUUGAUGGGGUUAGCGGUAACGCGAAGCUCUUGAUCGAAGCCCCGGUAAACGGCGGCCGUAACUAUAACGGUCCUAAGGUAGCGAAAUUCCUUGUCGGGUAAGUUCCGACCUGCACGAAUGGCGUAAUGAUGGCCAGGCUGUCUCCACCCGAGACUCAGUGAAAUUGAACUCGCUGUGAAGAUGCAGUGUACCCGCGGCAAGACGGAAAGACCCCGUGAACCUUUACUAUAGCUUGACACUGAACAUUGAGCCUUGAUGUGUAGGAUAGGUGGGAGGCUUUGAAGUGUGGACGCCAGUCUGCAUGGAGCCGACCUUGAAAUACCACCCUUUAAUGUUUGAUGUUCUAACGUUGGCCCGUAAUCCGGGUUGCGGACAGUGUCUGGUGGGUAGUUUGACUGGGGCGGUCUCCUCCUAAAGAGUAACGGAGGAGCACGAAGGUUGGCUAAUCCUGGUCGGACAUCAGGAGGUUAGUGCAAUGGCAUAAGCCAGCUUGACUGCGAGCGUGACGGCGCGAGCAGGUGCGAAAGCAGGUCAUAGUGAUCCGGUGGUUCUGAAUGGAAGGGCCAUCGCUCAACGGAUAAAAGGUACUCCGGGGAUAACAGGCUGAUACCGCCCAAGAGUUCAUAUCGACGGCGGUGUUUGGCACCUCGAUGUCGGCUCAUCACAUCCUGGGGCUGAAGUAGGUCCCAAGGGUAUGGCUGUUCGCCAUUUAAAGUGGUACGCGAGCUGGGUUUAGAACGUCGUGAGACAGUUCGGUCCCUAUCUGCCGUGGGCGCUGGAGAACUGAGGGGGGCUGCUCCUAGUACGAGAGGACCGGAGUGGACGCAUCACUGGUGUUCGGGUUGUCAUGCCAAUGGCACUGCCCGGUAGCUAAAUGCGGAAGAGAUAAGUGCUGAAAGCAUCUAAGCACGAAACUUGCCCCGAGAUGAGUUCUCCCUGAGACUUAGAGUCUCCUGAAGGAACGUUGAAGACGACGACGUUGAUAGGCCGGGUGUGUAAGCGCAGCGAUGCGUUGAGCUAACCGGUACUAAUGAACCGUGAGGCUUAACCUU
rnacentral:rRNA from 1 species